rnacentral:lncRNA from 1 species
ACGUACGACCAUUUCCCUCCAGAGAGGUUACAAUGUACCGAGUGUAUCCAGUCGGUUAGCUUGGUAUUCUCCGAAUGCUAGUAUCCGACUGGAUGAUACAGGACCUGUUGCCGACUGGAUAAUGGGGACUCCUUAAUUCAGUCGGGGCAGACUUAGGGUCCUAUCCUUUGUGUGGGGUAGUCCUUGGGUAGGACCUGUAUGGCAGGCCUAUGACCCUACCCUAGGACUAUGACCCCAUCAGGUAGGCUGACAGGAAAAGGCACACUAGGAGGGAAAGCAAAAGUAUGUAUG